AUUCAGUUGAGGACUCUAAUGAGACUGCCAACGAUAAGUUGGAGGAAGGUGGGGAUGACGUCAAAUCAUCAUGCCCUUUAUGACCUGGGCUACAAACGUACUACAAUGGCCGGUACAAAGAGAUGCGAAGUGGCGACAUGGAGCGAACCUCAGAAAGCCGGUCUCAGUUCGGAUUGCAGGCUGCAAUUCGCCUGCAUGAAGUCGGAAUCGCUAGUAAUCGCAGGUCAGCAUACUGCGGUGAAUACGUUCCCGGGCCUU
rnacentral:rRNA from 1 species